rnacentral:rRNA from 1 species
CGUAGGGUGCAAGCGUUAAUCGGAAUUACUGGGCGUAAAGCGUGCGCAGGCGGUGAUGUAAGACAGGUGUGAAAUCCCCGGGCUUAACCUGGGAACUGCAUUUGUGACUGCAUCGCUGGAGUGCGGCAGAGGGGGAUGGAAUUCCGCGUGUAGCAGUGAAAUGCGUAGAUAUGCGGAGGAACACCGAUGGCGAAGGCAAUCCCCUGGGCCUGCACUGACGCUCAUGCACGAAAGCGUGGGGAGCAAACAGGAUUAGAUACCCUGGUAGUCCACGCCCUAAACGAUGUCAACUGGUUGUUGGUCCUUCACUGGAUCAGUAACGAAGCUAACGCGUGAAGUCGACCGCCUGGGGAGUACGGCCGCAAGGUUG